GCCGCGGCCGGCCCCCGAUCGCGGCCCGCAUGCGUCUGACGGCAGGAGGUAGCAGCUGGCGCAGGGCCGAGUGGGGAAGUUGAGAGCUCGGUGCUUGGCAGCCAGACAGGACGGGGCCACGUGCUGGAGGCAGAACCACCUGCUUCAAGUCUGAUGGGGCUCCUGUGGACCAGCCCGGCGCCGCCUCGGGUUGAGAGCAG